UACGUAGGGGGCAAGCGUUGUCCGGAAUCAUUGGGCGUAAAGAGCGUGUAGGCGGCCUGAUAAGUCGGCUGUGAAAGUCAAGGGCUCAACCCUUGAAUGCCGGCCGAUACUGUCAGGCUAGAGUCCGGAAGAGGCGAGUGGAAUUCCUGGUGUAGCGGUGAAAUGCGCAGAUAUCAGGAGGAACACCUAUGGCGAAGGCAGCUCGCUGGGACGGUACUGACGCUGAGACGCGAAAUCGUGUUUAGCAAACAUG
rnacentral:rRNA from 1 species